UUUAUUUGCCGGAAAGUUAUUUGCCGCUCUUUUUCCACCUUUCCAAGCUCGGCCGUUUGCAGUCUCCUCAGUUCCAGAAGAUUAGAGGAAGAGGAGGAGCUUGACCACUGAAUCGGUGAUGGUGGAAGUGUGGUGGUCCCUACUGGGGGCUGCUAUCCCAGCAGUUAUAGCUGGGAACGCUUUUAGAUUGAAGAAAAGACAUGCUGAAGAUCAGAGGUUAAAGAGUGCCAGGGGUAGGGAAAAGAGCCCUGAUGACAUAUUUGUCUGUGAAAGGGUGUGUACAUCAAAGAGAAUGUUAAAAAAGGUUGGUGCCUUCUCAAAGGACCCAAUUCCUGAUACUUGUGUUACUGUCUGUGGUGUGUCUGAGCUUGAUGCAUGUGCUGAUGCCUGCGCUCGCACUGUUUGUGUAAACCAACAUCAAGUGCCAAACUGGAAUGACGCCUGCUUAAGGAGAUGCCAGAGUGAAUGUCUCAAACUCUCUGAUUCCCGUUAUUUUUAGUGCAUUUUCCCCCUCAGAUGGUAAAGUUUGUAUAUGAAGCAGUGGUAUCGUGGGGAUUGUUGAUCACACUUUCAGACUUUGUUUUUUUGACACAAUGUGAUUUAAUUUGUGAUCAAUUUCAAGUUCCACGAACUAAAAUAGUAUUUUCUUGAGGCUUUUUGUGGGGGAACCUGGUAAUUGUUGCUUCUUUGAAUUGCCAAUACACUUGCUAUUUUUGUUUGGAUCAGCAUGUCUUGAAUCCAUCAAAUGCAAGGUGCUAUCACAUGGUGUCUUGGAUCAGAACCAUUUAGGUGCAUUGUCAAGUUUUUUUUUAUGGGUGCGUUGCCUCGUUGACAUACAUAUCAGAGUAUAACUUCUCCAUCUCUCCCUUUGUGCUUGUGCGCAUGGACACAUGGUUAUGCACUUUUGAAGAAGCGGUUCUUGUACCAAGUUAAGCCAAGGGUAGGACUAAAGCAGGAAUGAGCACUUGCUACAUUUUUAUGCGCAAAAAGUAUGUAUUUUUGUUAGGGAUUACCUUGCAGUUGCAAAAAAUAGUUGCUCCAAACUCCCCUAGAUGUACCGCCAUGGAUGAUAAUUUAUUUUACAGACAUUGCAAG